rnacentral:rRNA from 1 species
GAUGAACGCUGGCGGCGUGCCUAAUACAUGCAAGUCGAGCGAACAGACGAGGAGCUUGCUCCUCUGACGUUAGCGGCGGACGGGUGAGUAACACGUGGAUAACCUACCUAUAAGACUGGGAUAACUUCGGGAAACCGGAGCUAAUACCGGAUAAUAUAUUGAACCGCAUGGUUCAAUAGUGAAAGACGGUUUUGCUGUCACUUAUAGCUGGAUCCGCGCCGCAUUAGCUAGUUGGUAAGGUAACGGCUUACCAAGGCAACGAUGCGUAGCCGACCUGAGAGGGGGAUCGGCCACACUGGAACGGGGACACGGUCCAGACUCCUACGGGAGGCAGCAGUAGGGAAUCUUACGCAAUGGGCGAAAACCUGGCGGAGCAACGCCGAGUGAGUGAUGGAGGUCUUCGGAUCGGAAAACUCUGUUAUGAGGGAAAAACAAAUGUGUAAGUAACUAUGCACGUCUUGACGGUACCUAAUCAGAAAGCCACGGCUAACUACGUG